UAGCGGAGGGGGCGAGCGUUAUUCGGAAUUAUUGGGCGUAAAGCGCACGUAGGCGGAUAGUUAAGUGAGGGGUGAAAUCCCAGGGCUCAACCCUGGAACUGCCUUUCAUACUGGCUAUCUAGAGUCCGGAAGAGGUGAGUGGAACUCCUAGUGUAGAGGUGGAAUUCGUAGAUAUUAGGAAGAACACCAGUGGCGAAGGCGGCUCACUGGUCCGGUACUGACGCUGAGGUGCGAAAGCGUGGGGAGCAAACAGG
rnacentral:rRNA from 1 species